rnacentral:rRNA from 1 species
GAUGAACGCUAGCGGCAGGCUUAACACAUGCAAGUCGAGGGGUAGAAGUUGCUUGCAACUUUGAGACCGGCGCACGGGUGCGUAACGCGUAUGCAAUCUACCUUAUACAGAGGGAUAGCCCAGAGAAAUUUGGAUUAAUACCUCAUAGUAUAAUUGAAUGGCAUCAUUUAAUUAUUAAAGUUCCAACGGUAUAAGAUGAGCAUGCGUCCUAUUAGCUAGAUGGUAAGGUAACGGCUUACCAUGACAACGAUAGGUAGGGGUCCUGAGAGGGAGAUCCCCCACACUGGUACUGAGACACGGACCAGACUCCUACGGGAGGCAGCAGUGAGGAAUAUUGGACAAUGGGCGCAAGCCUGAUCCAGCCAUGCCGCGUGCAGGAAGAAGCAUCUAUGGUGUGUAAACUGCUUUUGUACGGGAAGAAACACCCCUUCGUGAAGGGACUUGACGGUACCGUAAGAAUAAGGAUCGGCUAACUCCGUGCCAGCCGCCGCGGUAAAAC